CGUUUUAAUUCCAUUAUAAACGUACCGGAAAGAGCAACGAGAUCAGAAGGUCGGUCAAGUCCGACUUUUUUGAAGCUAUCCUUAAGUUCUUUUAGGGUAAAGAAUGGAGCUGGAAGGUUAUCGUUAGCAAGAUCCAUAAACGCCCUUAAACUGUCUCUUCUUCCAUUUGGAACCGUCCAUGAAGGACCUCCCGCC